rnacentral:rRNA from 1 species
UACAGAGGUCUCAAGCGUUGUUCGGAUUCAUUGGGCGUAAAGGGUGCGUAGGUGGCGCCGUAAGUCGGGUGUGAAAUUUCGGAGCUUAACUCCGAAACUGCAUUCGAUACUGCGGUGCUUGAGGACUGGAGAGGUGACUGGAAUUCAUGGUGUAGCAGUGAAAUGCGUAGAGAUCAUGAGGAAGACCAGUGGCGAAGGCGGGUCUCUGGACAGUUCCUGACACUGAGGCACGAAGGCCAGGGGAGCAAACGGG